rnacentral:lncRNA from 1 species
UGACAUGGUUAAAAGAAAAUUUGUCUAUACAGAUAUUACUGCAAAAAUGUACUAUUAUUGCUAUAACAGUUUUCACGAAUACCAGGUGAAUUUGAUCAUCAAGUCAUUGCUUUGAGAUUUCCCCUUAUGUGACAUUAAACGUUUGCAUUUUAAGCAAUGUGUUGGCUCUAAGUACAAAGAAACCUGAAUGCUGGAAAACAUAUGGUUAUUGAUAUGGCAGAUACAUAUUAAAAUUCUGUUUAUAAUUAUUUAAACUUGGGAUCCUGUGUUUGACUCCUCUUUUGGUUAUGGUUUUCUCCCCUGGAGAACACAAAGCAAAGCAACAGUUGUGUUACAUCAUAGGAUCAGAUAGUCAAUAAGAUAGACAAAGGAGCUGGGCCAAAUGCUCAUUCUUCUGAGUUUUGAGAGCAUAAACAAAUGAGAAAUACACCCCCGCUUUUGAAAUGGGGAGCAGUCGGAAGCUGGUUAAGCAUUGACGGAGAGGAAUUGAAAGGAGAGGCACUAUGGAAGUUCCACGCCCAGCCCAUGGACUAGUGCUGCCCAUGGUAGGAUUAUAUCCACGUUUUUGAGGGACUCUGCUAAUACCCAAACACUUAGUCCUUUAGCUUUAAUCGAGACGGCAAAACAGGGAUGCAUGAAGCUGCAGUAUGUCCAGAGGAGCCGCGGGAAACAGGUUGUGUUUUCCAGAAGCAGAUGCUGACAGAGUUUGGUGUGCAGGAUAUUUACAAGGGAUGAACAUUUGCGGAAAGGAGAGAAGAAGGAAGAUUGGGAAAAAAGUUAAGCAGCUGUCUGUAUCUGGGGCAAACCCUGAGUGAUUUGACAGGUGGAGGCUGCCUGCUGACAACACUCAUAUCAGCUGGGAAAAUCUCCUUUGUUGAAGGGAGCCCUGGGUAGUACAACUCUGUGUCCAUAACAACUGGUAUGAAAUGUUUUCUUUCCUUCUUUACCUGGAAAAGCUUGAGUACAUUUUUGAGUAAAAAUUAGUAAAAUUCUAACUUGAAUGAGAAUUAUUUCUUAGGUGUCUGAUUGAGCUCAGCAGUCAAAUUACUCAGACGCCAAGUUUUCUUCAAAGAAAAUUUUGAUUACUGAAUUUAAAUACUCAAUAGUUUUAAGAGUGUUUUGUGAAUACGAGGGUUACUUCUUUCUUGAAUGUUUGGAAA